GCACGCGUAGCUUAGACCAAAGCAUAAUACUGAAGAUAUUAAGACGAGCCCUAAAAAGCUCCGCAAGCA
rnacentral:tRNA from 1 species